rnacentral:ribozyme from 13 species
AACAAAACAAAACACAAAACAAAAACAAAAAAAAACCCACAACUAUCAAAAAAAAACCAAAAGAGAGAAAGAUAUAUAUUUCUCUUCUUUUCUCUCCCCUCUCUUCUUCUCAACUUCUUUCUCUCUUUCUUAAU